AUCCUCCAAGGCUAAAUACUCCUGACUGACCGAUAGUGAACCAGUACCGUGAGGGAAAGGCGAAAAGAACCCCGGCGAGGGGAGUGAAAAAGAACCUGAAACCGUGUACGUACAAGCAGUGGGAGCACGCUUAGGCGUGUGACUGCGUACCUUUUGUAUAAUGGGUCAGCGACUUAUAUUCUGUAGCAAGGUUAACCGAAUAGGGGAGCCGAAGGGAAACCGAGUCUUAACUGGGCGUUAAGUUGCAGGGUAUAGACCCGAAACCCGGUGAUCUAGCCAUGGGCAGGUUGAAGGUUGGGUAACACUAACUGGAGGACCGAACCGACUAAUGUUGAAAAAUUAGCGGAUGACUUGUGGCUGGGGGUGAAAGGCCAAUCAAACCGGGAGAUAGCUGGUUCUCCCCGAAAGCUAUUUAGGUAGCGCCUCGUGAAUUCAUCUCCGGGGGUAGAGCACUGUUUCGGCAAGGGGGUCAUCCCGACUUACCAACCCGAUGCAAACUGCGAAUACCGGAGAAUGUUAUCACGGGAGACACACGGCGGGUGCUAACGUCCGUCGUGAAGAGGGAAACAACCCAGACCGCCAGCUAAGGUCCCAAAGUCAUGGUUAAGUGGGAAACGAUGUGGGAAGGCCCAGACAGCCAGGAUGUUGGCUUAGAAGCAGCCAUCAUUUAAAGAAAGCGUAAUAGCUCACUGGUCGAGUCGGCCUGCGCGGAAGAUGUAACGGGGCUAAACCAUGCACCGAAGCUGCGGCAGCGACGCUUAUGCGUUGUUGGGUAGGGGAGCGUUCUGUAAGCCUGUGAAGGUGUGCUGUGAGGCAUGCUGGAGGUAUCAGAAGUGCGAAUGCUGACAUAAGUAACGAUAAAGCGGGUGAAAAGCCCGCUCGCCGGAAGACCAAGGGUUCCUGUCCAACGUUAAUCGGGGCAGGGUGAGUCGACCCCUAAGGCGAGGCCGAAAGGCGUAGUCGAUGGGAAACAGGUUAAUAUUCCUGUACUUGGUGUUACUGCGAAGGGGGGACGGAGAAGGCUAUGUUGGCCGGGCGACGGUUGUCCCGGUUUAAGCGUGUAGGCUGGUUUUCCAGGCAAAUCCGGAAAAUCAAGGCUGAGGCGUGAUGACGAGGCACUACGGUGCUGAAGCAACAAAUGCCCUGCUUCCAGGAAAAGCCUCUAAGCAUCAGGUAACAUCAAAUCGUACCCCAAACCGACACAGGUGGUCAGGUAGAGAAUACCAAGGCGCUUGAGAGAACUCGGGUGAAGGAACUAGGCAAAAUGGUGCCGUAACUUCGGGAGAAGGCACGCUGAUAUGUAGGUGAAGUCCCUCGCGGAUGGAGCUGAAAUCAGUCGAAGAUACCAGCUGGCUGCAACUGUUUAUUAAAAACACAGCACUGUGCAAACACGAAAGUGGACGUAUACGGUGUGACGCCUGCCCGGUGCCGGAAGGUUAAUUGAUGGGGUCAGCGCAAGCGAAGCUCUUGAUCGAAGCCCCGGUAAACGGCGGCCGUAACUAUAACGGUCCUAAGGUAGCGAAAUUCCUUGUCGGGUAAGUUCCGACCUGCACGAAUGGCGUAAUGAUGGCCAGGCUGUCUCCACCCGAGACUCAGUGAAAUUGAACUCGCUGUGAAGAUGCAGUGUACCCGCGGCAAGACGGAAAGACCCCGUGAACCUUUACUAUAGCUUGACACUGAACAUUGAGCCUUGAUGUGUAGGAUAGGUGGGAGGCUUAGAAGUGUGGACGCCAGUCUGCAUGGAGCCGACCUUGAAAUACCACCCUUUAAUGUUUGAUGUUCUAACGUUGACCCGUAAUCCGGGUUGCGGACAGUGUCUGGUGGGUAGUUUGACUGGGGCGGUCUCCUCCUAAAGAGUAACGGAGGAGCACGAAGGUUGGCUAAUCCUGGUCGGACAUCAGGAGGUUAGUGCAAUGGCAUAAGCCAGCUUGACUGCGAGCGUGACGGCGCGAGCAGGUGCGAAAGCAGGUCAUAGUGAUCCGGUGGUUCUGAAUGGAAGGGCCAUCGCUCAACGGAUAAAAGGUACUCCGGGGAUAACAGGCUGAUACCGCCCAAGAGUUCAUAUCGACGGCGGUGUUUGGCACCUCGAUGUCGGCUCAUCACAUCCUGGGGCUGAAGUAGGUCCCAAGGGUAUGGCUGUUCGCCAUUUAAAGUGGUACGCGAGCUGGGUUUAGAACGUCGUGAGACAGUUCGGUCCCUAUCUGCCGUGGGCGCUGGAGAACUGAGGGGGGCUGCUCCUAGUACGAGAGGACCGGAGUGGACGCAUCACUGGUGUUCGGGUUGUCAUGCCAAUGGCACUGCCCGGUAGCUAAAUGCGGAAGAGAUAAGUGCUGAAAGCAUCUAAGCACGAAACUUGCCCCGAGAUGAGUUCUCCCUGACCCUUUAAGGGUCCUGAAGGAACGUUGAAGACGACGACGUUGAUAGGCCGGGUGUGUAAGCGCAGCGAUGCGUUGAGCUAACCGGUACUAAUGAACCGUGAGGCUUAACCUU
rnacentral:rRNA from 2 species